UCGAUAGGUCCUACCAGUUUACUUAUGUGUCAUGUUUAGUGCAUGACAAGUGAAUCAAGAUAUCAUUUUGAUAGAGGUUGGUAAGUUAAUUUCUAAUUUGAUAUAGUGAAGUGUAUUUGUUUCUACAUUACUUAUUUUGAGAGCGAGUAUCUGUUUUAAAUUUGCCUUAUUUCGACCAUUUGAUAGUGAGAUGAUACAAUAAUUUCUCAUUUUCGAGUUCUCGUUAUUUGUGAUGCUUUGUGUGAAUUCUCAUGUUUUGAAAAGGAGAUUUCUACAUCCUUAUUAUGCUUCAUGUCCUUUUGGCAAAAUGCAAUAUGAUGGCUGACUGUUCGGUGGUAAGUUUUGGCAUAGAACCACACAUUACAUCAUUGAUCGUUAUUUUGAUCACAUGUACGUGUAUUUAGCACACUUAAGUACAUAAAUGGAUACCUGGUGGUGAUUAUUGAUUAAUCACGAGAGUAGAGCUAAUAAGAAUGCUCCUUUUUACUAAGAAAAUAUAUGCACUUGCCUUUUGUACUUUUUACCCUGUUCUGUUAUUAGGAACAUAUAGCUACAUGGUUGCCUUUGCUGGUACCAUAGUACAUUUUACUAAUUCGUCAUCAAAUUCUUCUCUGUAGAUAAUGGAUACUAAUGUGAUAUGCUUUUGCUUCUGCGGCGUAGAUUAUAUUAGGUUCACCUUGCCGCUGUUAGCGCUGGACGAAAGCUGCUGCUGGCCGAGAAAAUGGUUCUUCACUGCUAAUAUUGGUCUGUUGAUUUGGCCAUGAAAACGGAGAAAGGGCGUCAAGGAGUGCCCCUAAUUUUUUGGUCAUUCUAUUGGUCCUAAGACAAACAACUGUCUUCAUCUGAUGUACAGAUGUGCUUGAAAAGAUUUUAGCAAUCUCAUGUAAUUCCUUUCUAUGUCUAUAUGUUCAUUCUAUUUA